rnacentral:tRNA from 1 species
UAUUAUUAAUAGUAUUAUUAAUAGUAUUAAAAGCCUUAUAAAGGCUUUAAUUUUAUUUAUCUUAAAGAAAGAUAG